UCGCCCUUAGAGUUUGAUCCUGGCUCAGGACGAACGCUGGCGGCGUGCCUAAUACAUGCAAGUCGAGCGGAUGGAUCUUCGGAUCCAUGAGCGGCGGACGGGUGAGUAACACGUGGGUAACCUACCUUUUAGACGGGGAUAACGCCUGGAAACGGGUGCUAAUCCCGGAUGGGAUCUUUUUUCGCAUGAAGAGAGAAGGAAAGGCGCUGCAAGGCGCUGCUAAGAGAUGGGCCCGCGGCGCAUUAGCUAGUUGGAGAGGUAACGGCUCCCCAAGGCGACGAUGCGUAGCCGACCUGAGAGGGUGAACGGCCACACUGGGACUGAGACACGGCCCAGACUCCUACGGGAGGCAGCAGUAGGGAAUCUUCUGCAAUGGGCGAAAGCCUGACGGAGCAACGCCGUGUGAGCGAUGACGGUCUUCGGAUUGUAAAGCUCUGUCAUUUGGGACGAGCGGCGUAGAGAGGAAAUGC
rnacentral:rRNA from 1 species